UACAGAGGGUGCAAGCGUUGUUCGGAAUUACUGGGCGUAAAGCGUGCGCAGGCGGUUGUGCAAGACAGGUGUGAAAUCCCCGGGCUUAACCUGGGAACUGCACUUGUGACUGCACAGCUGGAGUACGGCAGAGGGGGAUGGAAUUCCGCGUGUAGCAGUGAAAUGCGUAGAUAUGCGGAGGAACACCGAUGGCGAAGGCAGUCCCCUGGGCCUGUACUGACGCUCAUGCACGAAAGCGUGGGGAGCAAACAGG
rnacentral:rRNA from 1 species